rnacentral:misc_RNA from 1 species
GAUGAAGAACGUAGCGAAAUGCGAUAAGUAAUGUGAAUUGCAGAAUUCAGUGAAUCAUCGAAUCUUUGAACGCACAUUGCGCCCGCCAGUAUUCUGGCGGGCAUGCCUGUUCGAGCGUCAUUACAACCCUCAGGCCCCCGGGCCUGGCGUUGGGGAUCGGCGGAGCCCCCCGUGGGCACACGCCGUCCCCCAAAUGCAGUGGCGGUCCCGCCGCAGCUUCCAUCGCGUAGUAGCUAACACCUCGCGACUGGAGAGCGGCGCGGCCACGCCGUAAAACACCCAACUUCUGAACGUUUGACCUCGGAUCAGGUAGGAAUACCCGCUGAACUUAAGCAUAUCAAUAAGCGGAGGA